rnacentral:ncRNA from 1 species
UUAAUGACAAUGAAAAGAAGAGUAGUAACACAUCACUAGUACAGAGAGUCCCUGUUGGUGAGAUGGAACAUGGUGAUUGUGUUAUGAAGAUGAUCUUGGAGUCUGUUAGUUGGUGCGUUGGUGCUGACUAACCGGUUUGCAAUCGAUAUGUUGCACGAGUAUUUUUGUACUUGAUGAGUUAUUGAUUGUGAGAUCAAUAAAAAUAUGGGUGGUAUCGCGAAGAUCUUCGUCCCAAAU